CGGGUGAGUAAUGUAUGGGGAUCUGCCUGAUGGCGGGGGAUAACUACUGGAAACGGUAGCUAAUACCGCAUAACGUCGCAAGACCAAAGAGGGGGACCUUCGGGCCUCUUGCCAUCGGAUGUGCCCAGAUGGGAUUAGCUAGUAGGUGGGGUAACGGCUUACCUAGGCGACGAUCCCUAGCUGGUCUGAGAGGAUGAUCAGCCACACUGGAACUGAGACACGGUCCAG
rnacentral:rRNA from 1 species